GUUAAAGACUGCAUCAUAGUUCAACAUCUGUCAUUCUCUGCACUGUCCAGAUCAUAUGUGAUGCUGCAUACAUCAUUUCUAAUGUGGAGGCCACGUGGUCUGGGUCUGUUCAUGACUCCAGGAUUUAUGGAGAGUCUAACCUGAGCAACAGACUGCAGCGUGGAGAGUUUGAUGGCCUUCUGCUGGGUGACAGGGGUUACCAUGACAACCCAGGCUGAUGACCUCAUACCCUGACCCUGAACCAGGCCCCCAACAGAACUUCAACCGGACUCACUGCAGGACCAGAGCCCGGGUGGAGAUGACCAUAGGCCUGCUGAAAGCCCGUUUCCAGAGCCUACGUCUCCUCAGGGUGACCCCUGAGAGGGCCUGUGAUAUUACUGUGGCAUGUGUUGUUCUUCAUAAUAUUACCACUAUUAGAGGAGAGCAACACCCUGCCCUACAAACUGAAGACCCAGAUGAUGAGCCCAUCCACCUGCAGCUAUCCAGGACAGCAGAGCAGUCAGAGACACCGUAUGCAAUAAUCACUUUAGAGUUUAAGUCUCCAUCAUCACCACCACAGCAAAUAAAGACAUGAUACACAUUU